rnacentral:rRNA from 1 species
GACGAACCGUGCGAACGUUGUUCGGAAUCACUGGGCUUAAAGGGCGCGUAGGCGGCCGUCCGAGUCCGGGGUGAAAUCUUUCGGCCUAACCGGAAAAGGGCCCUGGAUACUGGAUGGCUCGAGGGGGGUAGGGGCAAGCGGAACUUCCGGUGGAGCGGUGAAAUGCGUUGAUAUCGGAAGGAACGCCGGCGGCGAAAGCGGCUUGCUGGACCCCUCCUGACGCUGAGGCGCGAAAGCCAGGGGAGCGAACGGG